rnacentral:snoRNA from 1 species
CUGCAUCUAUUUAACAGACUCGGAGCAGUUAUUAUCUGCUGCUAAGGUUUCUACUAAGGAUGCAGGGACAAAGAUGUCCUUACACUUUCUGUUUGAUCCUGUCAGCCGAGACUGAGUGGGGGUAAUGU